rnacentral:rRNA from 1 species
GACGAACGCUGGCGGCGUGCUUAACACAUGCAAGUCGAACGAAGAGCGAUGGACGCUUGCUUCUAUCAAUCUUAGUGGCGAAUGGGUGAGUAACGCGUAAUCAACCUGCCCUUCAGAGUGGGACAACAGUUGGAAACGACUGCUAAUACCGCAUACGAUCUAAUCUCGGCAUCGAGGAUAGAUGAAAGGUGGCCUCUACAUGUAAGCUAUCACUGAAGGAGGGGAUUGCGUCUGAUUAGCUAGUUGGAGGGGUAACGGCCCACCAAGGCGAUGAUCAGUAGCCGGUCUGAGAGGAUGAACGGCCACAUUGGGACUGAGACACGGCCCAGACUCCUACGGGAGGCAGCAGUGGGGAAUCUUCCGCAAUGGACGAAAGUCUGACGGAGCAACGCCGCGUGAGUGAUGACGGCCUUCGGGUUGUAAAGCUCUGUUAAUCGGGACGAAAGGCCUUCUUGCGAAUAGUGAGAAGGAUUGACGGUACCGGAAGAGAAAGCCACGGCUAACUACGUG